rnacentral:lncRNA from 1 species
CUCCCUUUGGAUGCCUGCCCAGCAGGGCAGACAGACACAGUGCCAGCUCAUCCUCCAUCAUAUGCUCUCCCCUGCACUGAAGGAGCGACAGCAAGUCCCCUCUGUCAAUGACUUUGUCACCAUUCUCAUUAUCAUAGCCAAGGACCUGAAACGCCUGUCGUAUUGUUUUCAUUGACAAGCCAAAUGCAGGCCGAUGAUUUAUAUAAAGUUUGAU